GACGUGUUGAAGGCGGUCGACUUCGCCCGCUGCCGGCGGGCCGACACCGACGCCGCCCUGGUCGUACCCGCGUUCCUGGAGCGCGGAUACCCCU
rnacentral:tRNA from 1 species